GGCCUCCCAAAUCUUACCACAGCUGUGUUCUUUACACUGGCUGUAUAGAAAGAGGAGGGUAACAGUAAAGGCACCCACCCUUAUACAACCUCAACACAGGCCCCUUGCCGGGUAUGUAUUGUGAAUUGGGGACAAAA